UGCAGCUGCCAAAGGGGAAAGACACAAGCUGCCAGCUGGAACUUGUCGGAAUAAUUUAUAUAUGGCCGGGAAGACAUUUCAUGCUAAAAUCUUGUAUGAUGAGGAAAUGACAUUUCUAUUUUCUUCAAUAUAAAAUAUAACCCUCAGCUACAUCGCUCCAGUUUCCAGCAAGCUUUGUUCAAUUUCCUCCAGAGGCAGGGGAAGCCUUGAACACGGAUAAUGAGGUAUCUUCUAAAAGCUCCCUUGGGAAGACCUCCUGCUCCAGGCAAGCAGAGUUGGGAAUAUCUCUGUGCAUGCCUUCAACAUUAAAUGAGCUACACAAUCUUCACUGCACACCCUCUGCACACUUCCUGUCUAAUAGCCACUGGCCUCCCCCUUCCCCUCCUCACCAUUUACUACAUUGCGCACAUCUUUUCAGAAUGUUUCUGUAGUGACUUCAAGAUUGUGGACAAUGGCCUUUUUCAACUUGAAAGACACUAACUUAAUUGCCAGAACCCAAAAGGUAAGCAAUUCUCAUUGAUGAAAAUACCUUGCAUGUAAUAAAACAGCAGAAGACACAAUAAAGAGACAUUUUUGUUGGUUCCUAUAAAUUAAAUAAAAAUGGCAGCAGCUGUGUUUCCCAUGGAUGAUAUAGCUUUAGACAAUUGCUAGACAUUAUGUAGACAGAUGUUUUAAAUAAAAUAAGGUAUUCAGAUUGCUAGAUACCUUGCUAGAUAUGAAGGCAAUUAUAGGAUAUCUUUGUUAAAUUACAUUUUUCAUUUUUGUGAGGAGAAAAAAGAAUUGUCCUGGAAACAGUACCAACAGGAAAUGAUCCUAUAUCUAAAACAGCUGGAUACUGUAACUAAUAUAAAUUUACGGGAAUAAAAAUGCGGUGUGCCUCUGGAGACAUGCAGGAACAUGCCAUAAAAAUAAAUGAGAAUAUCAAAGUAUUUAAAAAGGAGAAAAUACAUUUUAUCUAGAAAUUAUAUUGAGAUAUAGUCCACUGAUUAAUGAGAAAUAUAUGGAGAUGGAGAAAAAGGAACUUAUGAAAAGUUACUUUCAAACUGCUAAUAUUUUAUUUAAAGCUAUAUUUGUAGGAAAUGCCAGUAUUUUUUAGAAAACACCAUUGCUUCUUAUUCUAUUGGCUUUUAAUCAUAAUAACCCAAAGGCAUAUGCUGAGUCUAAUUGGGAGGUUCUAAAGGAAACAAAGAAUGUUUGCUGAGUGACCUGAACCCUCAAUGUUAGAUAAAAUUAUUGUAGCAAGUCACAAAGCCAUAUGUAUAGGAACUCCCCCUGCCAUGUGUACUCCCUUAUCCUAGUUCCUGUUAGCUAGUUCAAUGGGGAAAAAACAUCUUAUAUGCCCGACUCACACGACAAAGGCGCAGGCGUUAACUAUCAACAUGGAGUGUCUCCAGUUUUGUUCAUUUUAAUUCUCUUCAGUUAAAGACAAAACGCAUGAGCCCACAAGAAUGGUUUAAGAAAAAAGUAUGGGUAGAAAUCUACCUGCAGAGUCGCCGAGACAGCUUAGCAGGUGAAGGCACUUGUUACUAAGGCUGACAAGUUGAGCUCAGCCCCCAAAGCUUCACGAUGGGAGAAGAGAACAGAUUGCUCUAUGCACGCCCCUACCCACAAACACAUAUAUGGAAUAAAUAUUCAAACAAUAUGUUUUAAAGAGAUCUCUGUGCACAAGAGAUGUGAGGAAGCCUAGGAAAGCACACCCACGUCUUGGGUAUUCACGCUUCUCACCGAAGUUUAAAACUUAUCUGGGACCAGCACCUUGGAGGUGAGGGUCUCAGACAGGAAGAGACCAUGAAAAGUCAGGAUUCCCCAUGGGCCCCAGAGUCAGAAGAGUUCACACUGAUUCAGAAGCAGGCUCCUGUAUGUCCGUGGGGGAGGAGAGCUCAAGAGGAGGGAAGGGG